rnacentral:rRNA from 1 species
GUGCCAGCAGCCGCGGUAAUACGUAGGUGGCAAGCGUUAUCCGGAAUUAUUGGGCGUAAAGCGCGCGCAGGUGGUUUCUUAAGUCUGAUGUGAAAGCCCCACGGCUCAACCGUGGAGGGUCAUUGGAAACUGGGAGACUUGAGUGCAGAAGAGGAAAGUGGAAUUCCAUGUGUAGCGGCGAAAUGCGUAGAGAUAUGGAGGAACACCAGUGGCGAAGGCGACUUUCUGGUCUGUAACUGACACUGAGGCGCGAAAGCGUGGGGGAGCAAACAGGAUUAGAUACCCUGGUAGUCC